UACAGAGAGUGCAAACGUUGUUCGGAAUUACUGGGCUUAAAGCGCGCGUAGGCGGCAUUGUAAGUGUCUGGUGAAAUCCCACGGCUCACCCGUGGAACUGCCGGGCAUACUGCGGUGCUAGAGUGUGGUAGGGGAGAGCGGAACUCCUGGUGGAGCGGUGAAAUGCGUAGAUAUCAGGAGGAACACCGGUGGCGAAGGCGGCUCUCUGGUCCAUAACUGACGCUGAGGUGCGAAAGCUAGGGGAGCAAACGGG
rnacentral:rRNA from 1 species